AAGCACAGCCCGUGCCCUGCCCUCCCUUCAGUCCCACGGGCUCUGGGGGGCCCCACUGGUCCCCACACCGGGCGUUUGCUGGGAGAAAUGACCAAAGCUCUGCACCCCAUGCACGCCCCAGGCUGGAGGCCUGCUGGGAUGUCCUAGGGGUGUCCGUGGGAUGCAAAUGUCUUUGCUGGUCUCUGUCUUUCCUGGGUGAUACCAAAUUUUUAUAUAAAUGUGUACCUGUGAGAGCUGACGCUCACCAGUGUGGCAGCUGAAAUGUCUGUUGGCUGCCCGUGCUGUGGCAUCCUCUGUAGCACAUCCCGUCCUUGCCCAGUGUUGGGUGCAGCUGGUUGUGCCCACUUGGCUUUUGUGGAGCUCAGCCUAAGUCCCUGUAUGUUUCUCCUGGGCCUGAGAGAAGGAGAAAGAGGGUUUUUGGUUUUUUGUUUGUUUGUUUGUAUGUUUUCUUGCACAUUACAUCCAUCUGCUGAAAGGGACAGCAUAAGAAAACAAGUCCAGAAGGGCUGCCCGCCACCCUCAGGGUCAGAAACCCUCGCAGAGAGCCCAGCAGCAGGUAGUGUGGAUCCCCCCUACCUCCUCAGUGGUCCAGGAGCUGUUUGUGGUGCCGGCAUACUGCUUGUCCCCGCAGAAGCGAAGGCGUCCUUCCUCACCUUAGUUACCUUACAGACGAGCACAUCAGGCUGGCUGCUCAGUCACAGCCUACAAGGUCUUUUUGGCAUGAUGAGAGAAAAUUGGAUAAAGACUAUUCAAGUCAGGAUUGUUUGCAAGCAGGUCACUGGUGGCCCUUUGCAGUCCAUGGACCACAAUGUGUCCCAGUCACCUUUGCCAUCUCUAGUUGGACAACAGAAGACUUCCAAGUAAGAGAACAGAACGUAAUGAGGUGUUGGUGAUGAUCUAACUGGCACCUGACUCGCCAGCCAGCUGUCCUUGGAGGGCUGGGUAGGGAUGAGUGCAGCUGUGCUCCGCGAUGGGGAGUGGCCGUUACACUGGCGGAUCCCAGUGGAG